rnacentral:rRNA from 1 species
UACGGAGGAUCCGAGCGUUAUCCGGAUUUAUUGGGUUUAAAGGGAGCGUAGGUGGAUUGUUAAGUCAGUUGUGAAAGUUUGCGGCUCAACCGUAGAAUUGCAGUUGAAACUGGCAGUCUUGAGUACAGUAGAGGUGGGCGGAAUUCGUGGUGUAGCGGUGAAAUGCUUAGAUAUCACGAAGAACUCCGAUUGCGAAGGCAGCUUACUGGACUGCAACUGACACUGAGGCUCGAAAGUGUGGGUAUCAAACAGG